CCGUGUUAGAGGGUUGAACAUUACCUUCCAUGAGCAAGGAGAUUCAACUCAGACCUGCCCUUGGUCCCAGGAUUGCACAGCCCUGCCUUGCCAAUAGCUCAGCAAAUGUCUCAGCAGCCAUGCCAUGCUCUCUUUACAUACAUAAAUAGAAAUGCAGGAAACCUGGAAGUCUAAAUGCAGCUGAGGUUUCUGUUUUGGACUGUCUCCAGGGGCCUUCUGUGGCAGUGGCAUGGGGGCUCUUGUGUCGCUGCUUGGUCCAGGGUCUCGCUGACACUCGGUGACAUUCCCCCUCUUGGCUCUCAGGGAGCCAGAGAAUUUUUGGUUACUUCUCUUCCAAUAUUUUAUCCACUGCUCCUCUGUCAAGCAUCAAUUUUGCUAAGGAAUAAAAGCAAGUUAUUUGAUAUACGGUGGGACUUGCCAGCAGAUAAUUCGACCAUAGGUCAGCUCAACUACAAUAAUUUCUCUCAUAUUUAUGUUAAUAACUUGUAUGAAUGUGUACAACUGUACCCAUGGGUGUAUUUAAUACUUCCAAAAAAUGUUAAUUUAACUGCUGUAGCAUCAGACAUGCUGGGCAGCAGUGAAGUAAUUUUGCCAUUGCUCUUCAAUAUGUGAAACAGAGUAUGCUGAACCCAUUAUAAGGUCAUUAAAAAUUAGAAAUAAUAUUUUGGCAAGUUCUUUUUAAAAAAAAUAAAAAAAAAAAAAAAAGAAUAAAAAAGUAGUCA
rnacentral:lncRNA from 1 species